UACGUAGGGGGCAAGCGUUGUCCGGAUUUAUUGGGCGUAAAGAGCGUGUAGGCGGCCAGGUAGGUCUGCUGUGAAAACUCGAGGCUUAACCUCGAGCUGUCGGCGGAAACCAUCUGGCUAGAGUCCGGAAGAGGAGAAUGGAAUUCCCGGUGUAGCGGUGAAAUGCGCAGAUAUCAGGAAGAACACCCGUGGCGAAAGCGGCUCUCUGGGACGGUACUGACGCUGAGACGCGAAAGCGUGGGGAGCGAACAGG
rnacentral:rRNA from 1 species